rnacentral:rRNA from 1 species
GCGAGUGAAGCGGCAAGAGCUCAGAUUUGAAAUCUCAUCAUUCGUGGUGCGAGUUGUAAAUUGCAGGUUGGAGUCUCGGUUUAGACGUGUGUGCAAGUCCCUUGGAACAGGGCGCCACUGAGGGUGAGAGCCCCGUAGUGUGCACGAUCGACGCUGUGAGGCCCUUCUGACGAGUCGAGUUGUUUGGGAAUCAGCU